rnacentral:rRNA from 1 species
AACGCUAGCUACAGGCUUAACACAUGCAAGUCGAGGGGCAGCGCAGUGUAGCAAUACACGGGCGGCGACCGGCGCACGGGUGCGUAACGCGUAUCCAACCUUCCCGAUACUCAGGGAUAGCCUUCCGAAAGGGAGAUUAAUACCUGAUGGUGUUUCACUUCCGCAUGUUAAUGAAACUAAAGAUUUAUCGGUAUCGGAUGGGGAUGCGUGACAUUAGAUAGUAGGCGGGGUAACGGCCCACCUAGUCUACGAUGUCUAGGGGUUCUGAGAGGAAGGUCCCCCACACUGGAACUGAGACACGGUCCAGACUCCUACGGGAGGCAGCAGUGAGGAAUAUUGGUCAAUGGCCGGAAGGCUGAACCAGCCAAGUAGCGUGAAGGAUGAAGGUUCUAUGGAUUGUAAACUUCUUUUAUACGGGAAUAAAGCCCGCUACGUGUAGCGGUUUGUAUGUACCGUAUGAAUAAGCAUCGGCUAACUCCGUGCCAGCAGCCGCGGUAAUACGGAGGAUGCGAGCGUUAUCCGGAUUUAUUGGGUUUAAAGGGAGCGUAGACGGGUUUUUAAGCCAGCUGUGAAAGUUUGCGGCUCAACCGUAAAAUUGCAGUUGGAACUGGAGACCUUGAGUGUGCAUAAGGUGGAUGGAAUUCGUGGUGUAGCGGUGAAAUGCUUAGAUAUCACGAAGAACUCCGAUUGCGAAGGCAGUCCACUGGGGCACUACUGACGCUGAGGCUCGAAAGUGCGGGUAUCAAACAGGAUUAGAUACCCUGGUAGUCCGCACAGUAAACGAUGGACACUCGCUGUUGGCGAUAUACGGUCAGCGGCCAAGCGAAAGCAUUAAGUGUCCCACCUGGGGAGUACGCCGGCAACGGUGAAACUCAAAGGAAUUGACGGGGGCCCGCACAAGCGGAGGAACAUGUGGUUUAAUUCGAUGAUACGCGAGGAACCUUACCCGGGCUUGAACUGCAGAUGACUUUUCCGGAAACGGGAUUUCCCUUCGGGGCAUCUGUGGAGGUGCUGCAUGGUUGUCGUCAGCUCGUGCCGUGAGGUGUCGGCUUAAGUGC